rnacentral:ncRNA from 1 species
UAGAAGACGAGGAUAAGAACUAGUAGAUGAUAUUAGUCAUGCAGAGAGUUGCUGGUUGGUGAAAAGCAAUUGAUGAGGAUUAUUGAACACAUCUUUGAGUUGGGUACCGAAAUUAGAGUAGGCUACCACGGGUGCACCCGUUACAGUGCUAAGGUAUAGUAUCUUGUACCUGAUGAGGCCAUUAUCGUGAGGUUGUGGCGAAUAGAGGUGGGAACACGAAGUAUUGAUUUUAGUACUCUCGUCCUCUGA